AGUACAAUUGCUGGAUCAUAUGGUAACAGUUAAUUUUGUAAGAAACUGCCAAACUGCAUUCCAAAUUGGCUGUACCAUUUUGCCAUUCCACCAGCAGU
rnacentral:pre_miRNA from 1 species